ACAAAUGAAAUUCCAGCUUUCAUAUUUAAUACUCAAAACAAACCGAUUAACUUCAUUUUUGGAUGGAAACUAGUUCUGUAUGUUAUGCUGGAACUCCCACCUUGCCAGGUCUCCAAAUGAGGUCAGUUUUUGGUGUCAGGGCUUUCACCAACUGAGAAAUCCCCUUUGUAACUUAUUUUAUUUUCAAAAAUUUUUCUAAGUUUGUUAAAGCAGAAGAAGGUUCCUCCCCCUAACGCUGAAUUUCAGAAACACCAAGCUGAGGAAGAGGGGUACAGUUUUCCUCUCUGAAUGCAAUGAAAUUUUGCCUAUAAAUAUAUUUCAUGGUGGUAUAAACACAACAUACCUUAUGAAGAAACAAGGGUCUGGUUUCGUAAGUUGCUGACUGCCCUUGGCUGCCACUGAUGCAACUCUAUGUGCCUGAUUCUGCUUUUUAAAGUUAACAGGAGUUUUGUCAUUGACUUCACAGGAAAAAGGAUUCAGUGCUAACACUGCCAACGUGGAUAAAAACAUGUAUUGUACAAAAAAGCAUAGAAGGGGGUUUCUCCUCCAAUGUAAGUUGUAUUAUUUGAUAGCUCGUAAUUAUUUUAUCUACCUUCAGCAUUUAUAUAGCACCAAUAACCAAUCGUUUCAUUGUUAAGGCACUGAACUGGGACUCAGAUGACCAGGGUUCCUAGCCCCAAAUUUGCAACCAGCUUCCUCUGUGGUUUAGGUUAAUCAUUUCAUUUCUCUGUACCUCAUUUCUCCAUUCGUAAAAUAGGGAUUUAAUACAAACAUCCCACUUCACAGGAAUGUUCAUGGUUAUCAGAUGCACAGAUACUACCGUGAUGAGCACCACAAAAACACCUAUAAACAAAUGAUAAAUCUAUGCAUAGAUUUAUUGGUUAAAAAAUAUUCUGCUGCAGGUACCAAUUCUGAAAGUGUGCAGUGUGAGGCAACAGGAACUAGCUCCGGUUCCUCAUGUUAGUCCCCAUUCACACAUUUUGGGGGAAAUCCUGGCCCAGUGAAGUGAGUGGGUAAGAAAAAGACUCCCAUGGACUUCUAUCAGGCCAGGAUGUCACCCUCUAUUUAAAAAGGUCAUUGUUGAUGCUGUCUGAGCUAUCUGGAUUUGUAGGGUAAAUCUUCCACAAAUAGAUUAUUUCCCUUAACAGACCAUAGAAAGCACCUCUGGAGACAUGCCUAUUGACUGUAUCACACUGGCUGGUGCACAUGGACACUAAGUCCACACUGCUAAAAGUCCUUGGGUUGAAAUAAGUUACUGCAAAUGCACAGUAGCUGAUUUUGAAACCACAACACUGCUACAAUUUAUUAUCAUCAUUUUUACAAAAUACCCAAAGUGAUCAGGUCAUAUGGUAGAUUACUGACUUGCCAAAGGUUAUGUUUUAAAUCAAAACCGUUUGAAUUAUACAAGUGCCAAAAAUAUCUUGAACCAAUCUUUUUUUUUUUUAAAUCAACCCGUCCAAUGAAACAGUUGUAUAAUUUAAAACAGAACCAAAAGUUUGUGUUGGAAAUUGUUUAAAAACCAACCCUCCAAAUCAUGCUGGAGCAGAAGCCUUGUAUGGCAAGAUUUAGCCUGGGGCAAUUUGGUGCCAAGGUAUAGACUCCCCCUAUGGGUUUAUAAUGGAAAUACUGACACAACCUUAACUAUAGUGAUGCGAACAUGCCCCUAAAACACUGUAUUGGUUUUUAUUAAUAGAAGUGGUAGUGUUUACAUUUGCAGGUAUCUUACACUUCAGCAUCAAUGAAUACUGAGUAGAACGAGCAAAGUCUUGGAUGUAAGGGUCAGAAAUGCCCAAACAGGUGAAUGAGACAAAAGGUGAAAGUCCUCAAUUAUGAAAACAAGUUGUUCAAAUAAAUAAAUGAGGGACGGGGAGAGAAAAUAAUAAAAGAAAAUAAAUGCAAGUGUUAAGUUGGAAUGGUUCAAAUAACUUCAGUUGAUGGCUACUAAAUUAGAGAGAGAAGAAAACACAGUUACUAAUUAAAUAGCAAGCAUUAAAGCUUUAUGGUUUUGUAUUAAAAAUAAAAACAAAACAAAAAAAAGAAAAGCUGUUAAAAAUAAGACUUGCGUUUACUAGGCCACCAAACUGCAUGGACUACUGAAGAAACUAAUAAAAGGCAAUACUGAAACAUUAAGACACACACACACUCCAUAAAUGUGCAACCUGACUUUUCAGUACAUUGCCUCUCUCUCGCUC